rnacentral:rRNA from 1 species
GCCCCUCGAGUGGUGGGGAUGAUUAUUUGGCCUAAAGCGUCCGUAGCCGGCUUUGUAAAUCUCUCGUUAAAUCCAGCGUCCUAAGCGUUGGGCUGCGAGGGAAACUGCAGAGCUAGAGGGUGGGAGAGGUCAGCGGUAUUCCUGGGGUAGGGGCGAAAUCCAUUGAUCCCAGGAGGACCACCAGUGGCGAAGGCUGCUGACUUGAACACGCCUGACGGUGAGGGACGAAAGCUGGGGUAGCGAAUCGGAUUAGAUACCCGAGUAGUCCCAGCCGUAAACGAUGCAGGCUAGGUGUUGGGUCGGCCAUGUGCUGGCUCAGUGCCACAGGGAAGCCAUUAAGCCUGCCGCCUGGGGAGUACGGCCGCAAGGCUGAAACUUAAAGGAAUUGGCGGGGGAGCACCACCAGGCGUGAAGCCUGCGGUUUAAUUGGAGUCAACGCCGGGAAUCUUACCGGGAGCGACAGCAGAAUGAAGGCCAGGUUGAAGGUCUUGCUGGACGAGCUGAGAGGUGGUGCAUGGCCGUCGCCAGUUCGUGCCGUGAGGUGUCCUCUUAAGUGAGGUAACGAACGAGACCCGUGCCCCAUGUUGCUAACAGUAUCUAAAGGAUAGCUGAGCACUCUUGGGGGACCGCAGCCGACAAGGCUGAGGAAGGUGCGGGCCACGGCAGGUCAGUAUGCCCCGAAUCUCCCGGGCCACACGCGGGCUGCAAUGGUAGUGACAGAGGGCUGCGACCCCGAGAGGGGGAGCCAAUCCCUAAACACUAUCUCAGUUGGGAUCGAGGGCUGCAACCCGCCCUCGUGAACAUGGAAUGCCUAGUAACCGCCGGUCAUCAUCCGGCGGUGAAUACGUCCCUGCUCCUUGCACACACUGCCCGUCGAACCACCCGAAUGAGGUUUUGAUGAGGCAUGGUCGAAAGUUGGCCGUGUCGAAUCUGGGCCUUGUAAGGAGGGUUAAGUCGUAACAAGGUGGCCGUAGGGGAACCUGCGGCCG